rnacentral:rRNA from 1 species
AGGGCACCACCAGGAGUGGAGCCUGCGGCUUAAUUUGACUCAACACGGGAAAUCUCACCAGGCCCGGACACCGGAAGGAUUGACAGAUUGAGAGCUCUUUCUUGAUUCGGUGGGUGGUGGUGCAUGGCCGUUCUUAGUUGGUGGAGCGAUUUGUCUGGUUAAUUCCGAUAACGAACGAGACUCUGGCCUACUAACUAGACGUUCGAUCUCUUUGUGGGUCCAUCACAGCUUCUUAGAGGGAGGGGCGGCGUUUAGCCGCACGAGAAUGAACAAUAACAGGUCUGUGAUGCCCUUAUAUGUUCUGGGCUGCACGCGCGCUACACUGAAGGAAUCAGCGUGUGUACCCUGUCUGAAAAGACUGGGAAACACGAUGAACCUCCUUCUUGAUGGGGAUUGGGGAUUGCAAUUAUUCCCCAUGAACAAGGAAUUCCCAGUAGGCGCGAGUCAUAAGCUCGCGUCGAUUACGUCCCUGCCCUUUGUACACACCGCCCCUCGCUACUACCGAUCGAGUGAUUUAUU